GGGCCAGUAGCUCAGCUGGUUAGAGCACGGGCCUUUUAAGCCCGGUGUCGAGGGUUCGAGUCCCUCCUGGCCCUCCA
rnacentral:tRNA from 1 species